GUCCCUUCCGCUGGGCUACUGGCUGCUCUAGAGGAUUGAUUCGUGAUGCCCAGCUAUAAGGUUCAUAUCUUCUCCGCUGUGUAGUGUUUUCCGUGUAUGUGGACGUUCGUAAGAGUUAAAAAAGUAAAGCUUCGCUUCUCGUAGCAUCCGGCCCAAGAGUCCUCAAAGGUGAGGUACCCCUAGUUAGAUCUUCCACCUGCUGCGCCUGUACAGACAGUGGAAGGAAAUAUAUUUAAGAAACAGUGUGUCCUUUAUUUAAUUACAUCUACUCAUUACUCUCGACCCCCAGCUCCUAUUCUACACUACAGACAAACUGACUCAGGAUUUGGGAGCACUGAGCCCUUGCCUAAAUUCUAGCAGGUCAGCGAAAGCAUGCAGGAGUUCUCAUAGCUACCACUGCUAAAACGGAUUAGCAGAGGGUGUGGGUACCGCACCUCAGGCCUCCCUCCCUUAACUUCCCAUUUCCCUGGGAGGUAUUUCCCCCCCCCCCCCCGCCCCCAAUCCUUCUAUAAACCAUAACUAGUUUGUGACUUUAAAUUCAUCAUGGAAAAUGCCCACCAGCCCAUUCCUCCAGCUUUAGUAAACCAUACAUUUCCUAGGAAAGGGGAAGUAAGAAGGACUCAGAAUGUUUAAUCACAGACCCUCGACCCAACUUCCUCUCUCUCCAAAUCAGGCCAACACCUGUGAGCUAUUUCCCUUCUCUCCUCCCCACCUCUCCCCUGCCCUCCUCUUCCCUCCUCUCCCCCUCCUUCCCCCGCCCCCCUUCUACCUCUGCUCUCAGGAUCCCUGCUGUGUUGUUGCCAGCUUAAAAGUCCUACCUAAUUCUGUCACCUUGGCACAUAGGCUAAGGCAGAUCAGUACCGACAUUAGGGUACAAAGCUUUCAUAUUCUUGGUCUCUUGUUCAAGGAAUUGAAAUAAAAGCUCUCACCGAUGUGUAAAAGUAGCAAGAAAAUUUAGUUGAAGCAAAGCAAGGGGGGGGGGGGGAGCAGCAAAGCAAAAUAAAAAAAAAAAGAAAGAAAGAAAUAUUCAGGACACACUACAACGGAGCUGCAGGCCACGUGAGUGAAGAUACUCAAGGGCUUGGAUUACUAUCUCAGGCUUUCUUUUACUGCAUUCAAGAGAAGUGUCGCACAAACUAGAGUUGUCCGGGGAGAGGUUACCCCAGUUGAAGAAUUACCUCCUUCAGGCUGGACUGAAGGCACCUCUGUGGGGCAUAUGCUUGAUUAAUGAUUGAUGUGGGAGGACCCACCCCUUGUAAGCAUAUCACCUGCCACCGACUGUAAACCUAUACACACCAGGAAUCUCCUUUGGAAAAUAUGUCAGUGGUUGUACUGGCUAGAGCUUUAUGUCAUAUCCACACAGCUAGUGCUAUCUGGGAAGAGAAGCCUCAAUCGAGAAGAUGCUUCCAUUAGAUUGCUUGUAGGUGAGUCUGCAGAACAUUUUCUAGAUUACUGGUUGACAUGAGAGGGCAUGAACCACUGUGGGUGGUAUCACACCUGGCCAGGUGGUCCUGGUUGCUAUGAGCAAGCCAUAGGGCGCAAGCCAGUAAGCAGCACCCUUCCAUGGCCUCUGCACCAACUCUUUCUUUCUAAUCCCUCCUUUGAGUUCUUUUCUGACUCCCCUCAAUGAUGGCCUAUUUAUUACCUGUAAAUGUAAGCCAAAUAAACCCUUUCCUGCCCAA
rnacentral:lncRNA from 1 species